rnacentral:rRNA from 1 species
UACGGGGGGGGCAAGCGUUGUUCGGAAUUACUGGGCGUAAAGGGCUCGUAGGCGGCCAACUAAGUCAGACGUGAAAUCCCUCGGCUUAACCGGGGAACUGCGUCUGAUACUGGAUGGCUUGAGGUUGGGAGAGGGAUGCGGAAUUCCAGGUGUAGCGGUGAAAUGCGUAGAUAUCUGGAGGAACACCGGUGGCGAAGGCGGCAUCCUGGACCAAUACUGACACUGAGGAGCGAAAGCCAGGGGAGCAAACGGG